rnacentral:rRNA from 1 species
GACAGAGGUGCCAAGCGUUGGGCGGAAUCACUGGGCUUAAAGCGUGUGUAGGCGGAUUGGUAAGUACCUUGUGAAAUCCCACGGCUCAACCGUGGAACUGCUUGGUAUACUGCUUAUCUUGGGCCACUUAGGGGCUACCGGAACAAACGGUGGAGCGGUGAAAUGCGUAGAUAUCGUUUGGAACGCCAAUGGUGAAAACAGGUAGCUGGGAGUGUGCCGACGCUGAGACACGAAAGCCAGGGGAGCGAACGGG